rnacentral:rRNA from 1 species
GACGAACGCUGGCGGCGUGCUUAAUACAUGCAAGUCGAACGGAAAGGCCCGGCGUUUGUUCGGUGCUCGAUUGGCGAACGGGUGUGUAAAACGUGAGUAAACUGCCCUUGACUUUCGGAGAACAUCAGGAAACUGGGGCGAAAACCGGAGAUGAGCUACUGCUGCAUAGUGGGGAUUGGAAAGUUUCGGCGGUUGGGGAUGGACUCGAGGGUUAUCAGCUGGAUUGGGUGGUAGUGGCGUACCAAGGCUUUGACGGGUAGCCUGCCUGAGAGGGUGACCGGCCACAUUGCGACUGCGAUACGGACCAGAAUGCAACGGGAGGCAGCAGUGGGGAAUAUUGCACAAUGGGCGGAAGCCUGAUGCAGAAACGCCGCGUGCGGGAUGCCGGCUUUCGGGGUGUAAACAGCUUUCGACUGUGACGAAGAGUGAGUGACGGUAAUGGGUAAAGAAGCAACGGCUAACUACGUG